GGCCUGUUGAUUAUAAUUUGAGGUCUGACCUGCCCACUGAAGGAUUAAAUGGCCGCGGUAUAUUGACCGUGCAAAGGUAGCAUAAUCACUAGUUUUUUAAUUGAAAGCUUGAAUGAAAGGUUUGAUGAGAAAAUUUCUGUCUYUAGGAGAAUUUAUUAGAAUUUUAUUUUUAAGUUAAAAAGCUUAAAUAUGUGUGAAAGACGAGAAGACCCUAUAGAGUUUUACAUUUAAAUAAAAAUUUCAAUUUUAUAGUAUAAAAAAUUUUUUUUUGUUUAUGUGUUUUAUUGGGGCGAUAGACAAAUUGAUUUAACUUUCUUUAAAUUUAAACACUAAUUUGUGGAUAAAUGAUCCUAAUUUUUAGAUUAUAAGAUUAAAUUACCUUAGGGAUAACAGCGUAAUUUUUUUUAGAGUUCUUAUCGAAAAAAAAGAUUGCGACCUCGAUGUUGGAUUAAAAUAAAUUAUUGGUGAAGAAGCUAAUAAAUUAGGUCUGUUCGACCUUUAAAAUUUUACAUGAUCUGAGUUUAGACCGGCGUGAG
rnacentral:rRNA from 1 species